rnacentral:rRNA from 1 species
UUGCGUUAGUUAGCGAUCUAUACUGUGAAACUGCGAAUGGCUCAUUAAAUCAGUUAUCGUUUAUUUGAUAGUACCUUACUACUUGGAUAACCGUGGUAAUUCUAGAGCUAAUACAUGCUAAAAACCCCGACUUCGGAAGGGGUGUAUUUAUUAGAUAAAAAACCAAUGCCCUUCGGGGCUCCUUGGUGAUUCAUGAUAACUUAACGAAUCGCAUGGCCUUGCGCCGGCGAUGGUUCAUUCAAAUUUCUGCCCUAUCAACUUUCGAUGGUAGGAUAGUGGCCUACCAUGGUAUCAACGGGUAACGGGGAAUUAGGGUUCUAUUCCGGAGAGGGAGCCUGAGAAACGGCUACCACAUCCAAGGAAGGCAGCAGGCGCGCAAAUUACCCAAUCCCGACACGGGGAGGUAGUGACAAUAAAUACUGAUACAGGGCUCUUUUGGGUCUUGUAAUUGGAAUGAGUACAAUUUAAAUACCUUAACGAGGAACAAUUGGAGGGCAAGUCUGGUGCCAGCAGCCGCGGUAAUUCCAGCUCCAAUAGCGUAUAUUAAAGUUGUUGCAGUUAAAAAGCUCGUAGUUGAACCUUGGGCCUGGCUGGCCGGUCCGCCUCACCGCGUGUACUGGUCCGGCCGGGCCUUUCCUUCUGGGGAUCCUCAUGCCCUUCACUGGGUGUGCUGGGGAACCAGGACUUUUACUUUGAAAAAAUUAGAGUGUUCAAAGCAGGCCUUUGCUCGAAUACAUUAGCAUGGAAUAAUAGAAUAGGACGUGCGGUCCUAUUUUGUUGGUUUCUAGGACCGCCGUAAUGAUUAAUAGGGAUAGUCGGGGGCAUCAGUAUUCAAUUGUCAGAGGUGAAAUUCUUGGAUUUAUUGAAGACUAACUACUGCGAAAGCAUUUGCCAAGGAUGUUUUCAUUAAUCAGUGAACGAAAGUUAGGGGAUCGAAGACGAUCAAAUACCGUCGUAGUCUUAACCGUAAACUAUGCCGACUAGGGAACGGGCAAGGUAUUCUUUUGAAUCGCUCGGCACCUUACAAAA